AACAGUUGAUCAUGUGUUGUUACUCUGUCCUAGGUAUGAACAGGAAAGGAAUGAACUACAAAGAGAAUUACAGAACUUAGGAUGUAAUGAAUUUUCAAUUUGCAACAUAUUAAACACAAAACAAGGAUGUGGUAAAAUAAUAAAGACAAUUUUAAAAUUCAUUAGGAAUAGUGGACUUAAGAAUAGCAUAUAGAAUUCAUAAUAUAUGCCUAGACUGAAAUCACUUCACACUCCAGCACCGGUAUGCACGGUAUGCACCUUAAAAGCUGGUAUGCGACCCGCCAAUAAAUCCACAGAAGAAGAAGAAGAAGAAGAAGAAGAAGAAGACGUCAAAGGCGGAGCUGGUUAUUUGAAAGUGGCGGGCAGGGUCUUUCUGUAGAGAAACAGCGAUUCUCGGAUUUUUAUGACAGAAACGGUUAACGAAGUCUGUCUUUACAUAAAAUAUCGGUAUUUUGGGAGUGCGGUUAAGAUCGUUUUAUCUUAUUUAAGAUUUUUUCGAUUUUGUGUUAAAAGGAACUUUUACUGAGCUUUACUCCUCGAGCACGACAACAACAGAUUGCAGCGUGGAAGUAUGACCAAGGAGGAUGAGAAAGUAAUUCCUGUAAGGGUUGCGCUGAGAUGCCGGCCUUUGGUUCCCAAAGAGAUCAAUGAAGGAUGUCAGUGCUGUCUCACUUUUGUACCCGGUGAACCUCAGGUGAUCGUUGGCAAUGACAAGGCUUUCACCUAUGAUUAUGUCUUUGACCCCACAACAGAGCAGGAGGAAGUAUUCAACACUGCUGUGUCUCCAUUAUUGUCGGGGCUUAUUA